rnacentral:lncRNA from 1 species
GCAAUCUCUUUUCUUUUCGAGUCAACGUUUACCAAGCAGCUUAUUCAGAAAUGGCAACCGUCGGCAUGGGACGGAGGUUGCAACUUGCAACGGCUCAAAUGGCGAAAUGGACUACAGUUUUUGAAAGUUGGAAAAGUUCCUCGAAAAAAUGAACGUCACGUGAUGUUGGCCAAUGGCGACUUGCAAGUUUUGUCUGCGCAUCAAGGCGACGAGAAUCAUUUGUAUCAUUGUCGAGUUCUCGUCCAGCCCAUCAGGCAAACAAUGACCAGUUUCACUGCUGGACGAAUCAUCCUCAGUCAAGAAUCCAGGACAAAGAUGGCACAAGUCAUUGUAGAAACUGUGAAUCGAAUUCGAAGUUUGGCGUGGACGAGAUGCCGUUUUACCUUGUGUUUUUCACGGAUAUCUUCCGCAUAAAAUCAAAUGGUACAAAAGUCAAACGAUUCAGUAUGGCAAUUUGUUGUUGCCACUGGUGACAUCAGCUGCCACGCAAGAGCAUCGUGAUGGAGUGCUGGGACUUGGGCGUCAUCGCCUCAUUGGUGGCACUUUACUCAUCGCUUCCGUCGUCACCGAAGAUCAAGGCAGUUACAUUUGUUUUGUCAACAGUUCCAUUGGAUUAGUCGAAUCACAAACGUCGAACGUCGUCGUCGCCGCAUAGAAUGCACAGCACAUUUAAGUCGCCGAUCCAGAAACGUCCGUCACCAUCACGUGUCAUUUCUCCGGCCGGUUGUCAGUUGGCUCAAAGAUGGCCAGCGCUUCUUGGUGGGUAAUAGUGGUCGUGUUUCUUCUUCAUCCGGCGACGACGGCUACACCGAUAUGGUCCAGUUAUCCAUUUCGUCCGUCCAACGUGAAGAUGAGGGAAUAUACCAAUGCCUGGCAUCCAAUGACGAAGGAGAUUGGGCCCAAGCAUCGGCCCAGCUGGCCAUUGGAGCAUUUCCUCCUCAUUUGAAAGAAACGUUCAGUCGGCAAGUUGUACAUCCGGGAAGUUCAGUCUCGUUGAAAUGUUUAGCCUCUGGCACUCCGCUGCCUCAUUUCACUUGGACGCUGGACGGGUUUCCGUUAUCGCCCGUUUCCGAACGAUAUUUCCUCGGCCAGCAGCAACAAACGGGUCACGACGAUCUUGUAGUGGCUCAUCUCAACAUAACCCACGUCCGAGUCGAAGACGGAGGCAAUUACAAAGCGUUUGUGGCGUUUGUGCGAACAGUGUGUAGCGGAGAAUCGAGUGGGUCGCGUAGAGCAUUCAGCCAAUUUGCAUAUUUACUUCAAUUCAAUGGCAGUUUGACGAUCGAUCCGUUGGAUAAGAGCAGCGACGCCGGUCUUUAUAGUUGCGAGGUGCGUGGCCAGAACGGACUCUCGGCUCGCCAGUCACUUCAACUCUACAUCCUCGCUUUGCGAAAAUAUUGACUCGGCGCCUUUUUCUUUUCCCCCUCCGCCCUGUAAACUUGCUCGGUCGCUGUGUAUACUCUUUGAUGAUGAGAAAGUCAACAGCGCUUUUCUAUCCGGUCUGGAAGCAGAAAAAAAAUUUUAAAAAAAGGAAGCAAUGAAAGCAAAUGAGACAGACCGACUAUAUCGAUCCAGCAGCCAGAAGCCAAUUUAAGUCUUUCCCUUUUUAUUUUUGUGAAAAACAAGAAAAAGGAGAUGAGUUAAGUGGGUAGGAAGGAUAAAUUUAGAAAUUUCUCGACGUUUUUUUUGUUGUUGUUGCUUCCGGUCGCCGGAAUUUCGUAAAAAAAACAACAAAAAACACGAAAAAAAAACGAUAUUGGAUACAGACGCGCCUCAUAUAAUGACAAUGAGCGAUUCGGCCAUGUUGAAUGCCGGCGAGCGAUUGGCGCUUCAAUGCGCCGUAGUUAAAGGUGGAUUGCCGUUGUUCGUCAGCUGGUCGAAAGAUGGCCAAGUGAUUGCACCGACAACUGCAACGACGACGACUAGCGUCCGUUUGGUGAACGAAUUCACAGCCACGUUGACGAUUGAAUCGUUGACUGGACAACAUGGUGGAUGGUACGUCUGCCACAAAUAUAUAAUUUCAGUUACAAUAGUGCAAUAGAAAAAAAGUGGUGGAAAAAUUUAUCAGGCUUUAGAGCAGCAGUAGCCUUUGCUAUAUCUCCACAUCAUGUAAAUGGAAAAUCUCUGGAACUUCUUGUUGAGAAAUGAAGCCAUUGUGCAUAUUGCAUCAACCAAGGGCGAAAUGUUACCACAUAUAGGCCAAUGUUACAACGGACACAUGAAGUCUGUAUGUUGGUACAGUUUAUCAACAGGCAUAAGAGCAUGUUCGGGCAAUAAUUGUGGGAUAGUUUAGGUAGAUUCUUUGCUGCGUCAUAGCUCGGGAGUCGUAACGGGCAAUAUCCUUGUGCAUUAAGUUGGUGAACUCUUGUGUUCCAUUGGGAAAAUAUUUCAAAUUGAUUUAUUUGCAUGUUACGGAGUUGUAUUUUUCUGAUCUGUGGAGCCUGACAUUUUCCACAAUUUCUAUCGGCGAACAAAAUGUCUUUUAGGAUUGGUAGCAGCUUACGAAGCAGUAGGUUCCAACAUCAUCUAACGUCUGCUUUAGUAAUGGCAGGGAUGUGAAUGAUAAUUUGUGAAAUCAAACAACUUAAGCAGGUGCCUAGCUCAACAACUCCUAUGAAAUCUAGAUUGGUGGUGGUAGUUAUAGGGCGCCUGUUCAGGCAACAGUUUCGUUUUUUAAUCCGCCAAGGAUUUAUGCGUUAUUGCGUCUACUGUGUAGCCUGAGUAGCAUACGCAAGGGGGCGUUUAUCUACAUUCCUCAUCACCAAGCAGUUACAAAUAUGUUCUACACUGAUAAGCAUCAGAGGCAAAGGGCGAGCUGAACUAGUUAAUUGCCCCUCAACUCCAGAGGGCACUAGUUUACAGCAACUCGGGCUCACCCUUUGGAGAGUGGAUUCUCAUUUCUUUUUCAUACCAGCGAGCAGAUUUGAGGUUUAAAAUUGUUUUAGGUUGUUAAGCAAGUCUGACUUUCUACGAUGUACAUGGCCGCCAAACUUUUUCGUUAUGUCUGACUGUUAAUCAGUAAGAAAAACGUCGAAUUAUUGACGAUACGUUUGUCAAAAUGGCAAAUACAACGCCUAACGAUUUAAAUCUAACUUGGGAUAAUCUACUUCUCGGACAAGGUACUUUGAGACCGGAUCUAAUUGAGUCCGCUUUCCAUAUGGCUUCUUCGCGCACGGUUGCCAUGAAGACUCGUCAUAACGAUUCCGAAAUGGUUCGUCAAUUUCGCAUUCACGGCCGUGUAGUAGAACCUAUUAAAGACUUCCUUAAAGAUGAAGUAAGAGCCUUAGGUCGUGAGCUGGGUUCCUGCACAAUUACUGGAACGUUACCCGUUUCCUGGUCCCGGUUUGUCAAUUUGAAUCAUUUACGCCGAAGAGCCGUUCUUGGAAGCUAAUUUCGAUGAGACGCAAGUGCUGAUUCGUUCGAUGGUCCAUUAUGCCAACAUAGCAGCCAAGGAACAUGCCUUGCUCAAUCGGAUUGAAAUCGUGACGUCGGAAGAAGAACGUCUUCUUCUGGGAGAACUGUCUAGUCGCAACCAGUAUGUUGCCACGCUACUGCCUAUUCGCACUGUCGGUGUUCAGGUAGAUGAUGGGUGCCACCGUAUCUACGCCAAGGUUUUUUUCCUCUUGUCUAGAUCUUUUAAUGGCCAGUGGGUCCUUGUGAUUAUGGCCAAUGGCUUGAACCGGAUACCAACGACUAUGGCACCUGUCGCCCUUCGCCUUGCCCAGUAAGCAAAUGCAACGGUCGCCAGAUCUACUGGAAGUCAACACUAAAUUCUGAAGGUGGCUGUUAUAAAUCGUUCACACGUGGGCCUUGCAGGCGAAGUAGCUAUUUCCUCGUUGAAGAAUAUGGCACUCGAAGAGGUCGAUGUGUUUCUCAAUUUGGAUCAUCCUAUGAAUCCUAUGUCCUUCCGUCACGCUAUCCCAGGAUGAGAAACCCUUACGAGAUGAUGUACUCCAACAACGCGAUGAGCCCAUGAUCGAAAUUUGGCAUGUAUCCGCCGUUUGGCAUGCAGGAAGAUUAACGGAGACGACUAUCCUGACAUUCCCAGUUUCGAUUACUGAACUAGAAACAGUUUUACAGAACCAUUCACAUGGUUUUGUCUCUAUUAUUUCAUUUUAGAAAUGCGAUUGCAAAUUUUCUAUUGUGACGUAUGGCGGAUAAAAAACAACCUUAAUUAGUUUUAAUGCAUGAAUUCGUUGGCCAAUAAUAUGUGUAUGAAGAAAAUGUUUUCACUUUGAAACAGAGUCAUGGAACCCAUCGGUUUCCAUGACUCUGCUUUGAAAGUUUGAACAGGGAUUUCUGUUUUACCUUUCUGCGAUGCGGCAACACAGCAUUGCAUGUCGAUCUGCGAACGUUUGACAACUCGCUGGUAUUGCAAUAGGUUAAUAGUUUUGUGUCAAGUAAAUUUCAAGUGCGAGUAACUGCUGGAAGAUUGCAAGCGAAAUCUGCAUGUGUCGUGUCAUUGUUCUAAGUGUUGGAGACUUUUUUCGUUUUGAUUAGGCAUUCAUGUUUGGGAACAAUACCUGAAGUUGGAUAUUGCCUAGUGAUAUUUACAUAUUAAGUCCUAUUUUAAGACACUUGGGGCGAUACGUUUCGCAACAAAGAUCUAUACAGUACUCAAAAGAUGACCCACAAGCACUACGCCACCACGAUUGAGACAAGGUAAAACACAAAACUAUAAAGCGCCAUUUAUCAAUAAUGAAUGAAUUUCCUCAUUCUAACAAUAAUUUAAGAAAAUGUAAAUGUAUACUUAGCUAUGGUAAUUAUUUCGUUUACAUCGACUACACUUCAAUAAUUUACAAGUGUGAAAGUGUUGCCUAUAAGCAACGAGAAGGUAUUGUGCAUGUUUAUGAGCGAAUCAUGGCUUACUGGGUGAGCAUCGGAUUGUACCGCUGGAUGUUUGUGGAUCAAAUACCAUCAGAGGAAAUAGUUCUGAUUUAUGAGUUUAAAAAUUUCUAAGAGGAAAGUUGGAGUGCCUUAACCAAAGAUUUGUAAAGUCCUAUUCUACAAGGGUGCUAUUGGUCGUAUAUACUGGAACAUUACAACUCAGUUUUCUUCACCAUGACAUACUUGGAAUUUAUAUGCCAAUACGUGUAAUCCAUCAAGGACACUGAAUUUUUCAACACCUGAAUGGGAUUCGAACCCAAUGUGUAGAGAGUUCCAGUCCAUCGCUCUACCAUUGAGCUAUGAGACAUAUUACUGAGAAAUCUAAGUCUUCAACACAUUAAGGUAACUGUGUAAAGUUGUACAUAGGGGAUCAAAUAUCAAUGGGGGGGGAUAUAGGGGGGGUUGCCAGGAAGGUAUCGCAUCCGCCUAGCAGCUCCAAGGUCCGUGGUUCGAUUCCACGGUUCCCGAUGUCCUGGGCUUCCAAUCUUCCACGUCUGCCAGUCGGGUCGAGAAACUUCCCUAUUACGAAGUAAUGGGACGGAUAUUUUGGCAAUGUUUAAUAUAAUAUCCAAUAAAAAAUACAUACUGCUUGAUCAUUAUUUUGUGUAUAUAAGAUUGUAACAUAUAGUCACUCAA